CCGAGAAUGAAAAUAAAGAGAAAAAGAAGAGAAAAAAGAGCGAAAGACACCCACAGCGUCUUGUUUUUCUCCUUUCCUUUUCUUCUUUUCCCCUUUUUCUUUUUCUUGUUCUCCUUUCUCUGUUUGUGUUUCUUUUC
rnacentral:ribozyme from 13 species